AGAGCGAACGCUGGCGGCAGGCUUAACACAUGCAAGUCGAACGGAUCCUUCGGGAUUAGUGGCGGACGGGUGAGUAACACGUGGGAACGUGCCUUUAGGUUCGGAACAACACAGGGAAACUUGUGCUAAUACCGGAUGUGCCCUUCGGGGGAAAGAUUUAUCGCCUUUAGAGCGGCCCGCGUCUGAUUAGCUUGUUGGUGAGGUAAAGGCUCACCAAGGCUACGAUCAGUAGCUGGUCUGAGAGGAUGGCCAGCCACAUUGGGACUGAGACACGGCCCAAACUCCUACGGGAGGCAGCAGUGGGGAAUCUUGCGCAAUGGGGGAAACCCUGACGCAGCCAUGCCGCGUGGAUGAUGAAGGUCUUAGGAUUGUAAAAUCCUUUCAGCGGGGACGAUAAUGACGGUACCCGCAGAGAAGCCCGGCUAACUUCGCGCCAGCAGCCGC
rnacentral:rRNA from 1 species